AGUGAACGCUGGCGGUAGGCCUAACACAUGCAAGUCGAACGGCAGCACAGUAAGAGCUUGCUCUUACGGGUGGCGAGUGGCGGACGGGUGAGGAAUACAUCGGAAUCUACUUUUUCGUGGGGGAUAACGUAGGGAAACUUACGCUAAUACCGCAUACGACCUACGGGUGAAAGCAGGGGAUCUUCGGACCUUGCGCGAUUGAAUGAGCCGAUGUCGGAUUAGCUAGUUGGCGGGGUAAAGGCCCACCAAGGCGACGAUCCGUAGCUGGUCUGAGAGGAUGGUCAGCCAAACUGGAAGUGGAAAACGGUCCAGGAUCCUAAGGGAGGCAGCAGGUGGGAAUUUUGGGAAAGGGGGGGAAGCCUUAUCCAGCCAUACCGGGGGGGUGAAGAAGGCCUUCGGGUUGUAAAGCCCUUUUGUUGGGAAAGAAAAGCAGCAGGUUAAUACCCCGCUGUUCUGACGGUACCCAAAGAAUAAGCACCGGCUAACUUCGUG
rnacentral:rRNA from 1 species